UGCAUAGGUUCUUUCUCUUCAGCACCCUCUGCUGGUCAUAGUGGGAAUACUCACAAGCUUAUAUUUUGGUGGGGUUUUUCUGUGUUCCUGUGGGUAGAGGAAACAGGAAGCUGAUCGCUUGUUAGCCUGCAGAAUAUGCUGUUUGUCGCCUUAGAUUCUCUUUAAAACGUUUCUGCCUUGGAGAGUUAUUGCUUUUUUACGGGAAGAAAAGGAUGUCAAUCACUGAGCUAUUGACGAAGUAAAAAGCCUUAAACUUACUUCCGCCUCCAAUGUUCAUUGAAGCCGUUAGCUGUCUGUCAAGUUGGGCAAAGGGACGCACAAUAAGGACAGAACAACAAGGAAGUUUUGGCCAGCCCGUGUGGAUUAAGAGUCCCCAAUAUCAACCCACCACGACCACCACCUUAAUUUUUUCAUCAACAGCCUUAAAUUUGG